rnacentral:rRNA from 1 species
GACGAACGCUGGCGGCGUGCUUAACACAUGCAAGUCGAACGGAAAGGCCCCUUUCGGGGUACUCGAGUGGCGAACGGGUGGGUAACACGUGUGUAACCUGCCCUUCACUUCGGGAUAACUUCAGUAAACUGGUGCUAAUACCGGUUAGGCAUCCUUGCUUCAUUGUGUGGGUUGGAAAGCUUCGGCGGGUUUGGAUGGACUCGCGGCUUAUCAGCUUGUUGGAGGGGCAGUGGCUUACGAAGGCGUUGGCGGGUAGCCGGCCUGAGAGGGCGACCGGCAACAUUGGGACUGCGAUACGGCGCAGACGCCUGCGGGAGGCAGCAGUGGGGGAUAUUGCGAAAUGGGCGGACGCCGGGUGCAGCAGCGCCGCGUGCGGGAUGACGGCCUUCGGGUUGUAAACCGCGUUCAGCAGGGUCGAGGCUGUUGUGACGGUACCUGGAGAAGAAGCGCCGGCUAACUACGUG